GACGAACGCUGGCGGCGUGCCUAAUACAUGCAAGUAGAACGCACGGUUUAUACCGUAGCUUGCUACACCAUAGACUGUGAGUUGCGAACGGGUGAGUAACGCGUAGGUAACCUGCCUGGUAGCGGGGGAUAACUAUUGGAAACGAUAGCUAAUACCGCAUAAUAUUAAUUAUUGCAUGAUAAUUAAUUGAAAGGUGCAAUUGCACCACUACCAGAUGGACCUGCGUUGUAUUAGCUAGUAGGUGAGGUAACGGCUCACCUAGGCGACGAUACAUAGCCGACCUGAGAGGGUGAUCGGCCACACUGGGACUGAGACACGGCCCAGACUCCUACGGGAGGCAGCAGUAGGGAAUCUUCGGCAAUGGACGAAAGUCUGACCGAGCAACGCCGCGUGAGUGAAGAAGGUUGUCGGAUCGUAAAGCUCUGUUGUAAGAGAAGAACGGGUGUGAGAGUGGAAAGUUCACACUGUGACGGUAUCUUACCAGAAAGGGACGGCUAACUACGUG
rnacentral:rRNA from 1 species